CGCGGAAUAGAGCAGUCCGGUAGCUCGUCGGGCUCAUAACCCGAAGGUCGUAGGUUCAAAUCCUGCUUCCGCAACCA
rnacentral:tRNA from 14 species